rnacentral:rRNA from 1 species
GACGAACGCUGGCGGCGUGCUUAACACAUGCAAGUCGAACGGAAAGGUCCUGCUUUUGUGGGUUGCUCGAUUGGCGAACGGGUGAGUAACACGUGAGUAACCUGCCCUUGACUUUGGGAUAACUUCAGGAAACUGGGGCUAAUACCGGAUAGGAGCUCUUGCUGCAUGGUGGGGGUUGGUAAGUUUCGGCGGUUGGGGAUGGACUCGCGGCUUAUCAGCUUGUUGGUGGGGUAGUGGCUUACCAAGGCUUUGACGGGUAGCCGGCCUGAGAGGGUUACCGGCCACAUUGGGACUGCGAUACGGCCCAGACUCCAACGGGACGCAACAGUGGGGAAUAUUGCACAAUGGGCGGAAGCCUGAUGCAGCAACGCCGCGUGCGGGAUGACGGGCUUCGGGUUGUAAACCGAUUUCGCCUGUGACGAAGCGUGAGUGACGGUAAUGGGUAAAGAAGCACCGGCUAACUACGUG